rnacentral:rRNA from 1 species
UACGGAGGGUGCGAGCGUUAAUCGGAAUUACUGGGCGUAAAGCGCACGCAGGCGGUUAAUUAAGUCAGAUGUGAAAGCCCCGGGCUUAACUUGGGAAUUGCAUCUGAAACUGGUUGGCUAGAGUCUGGUAGAGGGGGGUGGAAUUCCAUGUGUAGCGGUGAAAUGCGUAGAUAUGUGGAGGAACACCGGUGGCGAAGGCGGCCCCCUGGAC